GAAUCAUCUUAUUCUCUAACCGCCUCUUAAUUUACCCCCCAAAUUCCCAAUGUCAGACCGACCCUUCCCUAAACCCGACUUCGAAUGAAACAAUAACCCGAGUACCGGACCUGUAUUCCCUAUGUCGUUUCGGGUUACCUUCACUUCGGAUUUCCGGUCUAAUGAAAAAAAGUGCAGGGAGGGGAAAUCGUGAGCCGUUCUGCACUUGUACAUCAGCAAUUCCAUCUUUCGUCUGCUGAUGAUAUCCUAUCCAAUUCAGCAUAUGACCGCAAUUCAUCCCUCAAUCAUAUGAAUACAGGAUCGCAAUUGAUGUUCAUCCCCUAAAUUUAAGUUUAACAGUGCCGCAAAAGAAAAUCCUGGAUCAGCGUGCUGUGUAAAGUAGAUGUGUCAUGUGCGUCAUAAAGGGCACUCAUCAUCUUCAAGCUCGUAUAUCAUUUCUUCACAAACUGUUGUUGACACGUAAUUCGCUCUUUAGUGCUUAAUUCUCUCCAUCAACUUCAAGCUCGUAUGUCAUUUCAGUCAAAUUCUACAUGCUUUAACGGGUGAUUUUAUAGUUUACAUUACAAGCAUGUUCUUAAACCAUUUGGCCAAGUAAUUGUAUUUUUAACAAACAGUGCGUUUAGUGGGCUUUUGGAAGUCCUUGUAAUGUUUUAAACAUGUUUUUUUAAUAAAAAAGUUGUAUCAGUUCUCAAAUGGUGUUUCUGAAUGUGUAUGUGUUGUCUGUCUAUUCAAAGCUCAAAACCGUAUGAAUAAGUGAAACUGGGAAAACUCGGCCAAGUUGACCGUU